CUUCCUGGAUUCCUGUCUUCUUCCUAGAUCUUGGUCCGAUGAAUUAUGUAUCUGAAAUGGCUGGCAACCUCAGCUGCAGGACACUUUGAGGAGACGGCUGAUUGCAGAUCUAGGGCAGAGAAUGAAUAAGUGAAACAACCUAGUGAGAUCCAGUACAGCUUCCAACUUAUAUUAGACCAACUUUCCUCCCUAUGACAUUAAUAGCUGGGGUAUGGAGCUGUCAGAGUGACACGUAAACUCCAAUCAGAUCACCAAGUGGCCUCAGAAAUGCACACAUACAAGGACAUUUGUGUACUCACUGCUCAAUCGAGGGAGGCCUUAUCCAGCUAUACUCAUUCUCAGAGGCACUGCCUUCUGCACUGGAAAUGGAGUCCUUCAAGGCUACUAUCUGAUUUACUGUGCUGAAUACCCUGAUGGGUGGUACACAGACAUACGGUUUAGCUUGGGUGUCUUCUUAUUUAUUUUGGGAAUGGGAAUAAACAUUCAUAGUGACUAUAUAUUGCGCCAGCU
rnacentral:lncRNA from 10 species